UCCCUGGUGGUCUAGCGGCUAAGGAUCUGGCGCUCUCACUGCUGUGGCCCCGGUUUGAUUCCUGGGCAGGGAA